GACAGAGGGUGCAAACGUUGUUCGGAAUUACUGGGCGUAAAGCGCGUGUAGGCGGCCAUCUAAGUCGGGCGUGAAAUCCCACGGCUCAACCGUGGAAGUGCACUCGAAACUGGAUGGCUAGAGUCCUGGAGAGGAAGGUGGAAUGCUUGGUGUAGAGGUGAAAUUCGUAGAUAUCAAGCAGAACACCUGCGGCGAAGGCGGCCUUCUGGACGAUGACUGACGCUGAGACGCGAAAGCGUGGGGAGCAAACAGG
rnacentral:rRNA from 1 species